CCGUGCGCGCCCCGCACAGCUGUCGCCACUCUGCUUGGCCCGCUCGCCCCGCACCGCUUGCGCCCCCCACCCAACGCAGCCCGGCUGCCAACCCCCCUGCCUCCGUACCAUGCCGCCACCAUCGUUCGCCGUUGCAGUCCGCCACCGGACGUCGUCGACGCAUCUCCUCAACUGCGCUUGCACCCCUCACCCGCCUCCCCAUGCAUCUUCUCGACUCUGGAGAAUCCCACGGGAGGUGCCCCAUGGCUGUGCCAACGAGGAGCGUCGGAUGCGACGAACAUCCACGACGGGGAUGGCGCCACGAGGGAUGCGUCCAGUGGUGGCCUCCCACAUCACGCCCUAGUAUUUCACCGCUAUCUGUCGUGGGUCUUAGCGAAGAAGACGCUUUGUUUACACAUCAUGUUCCAACCCAAUGAAGAAGAGUGUAUCGAAACUUCAAGAGGAGUCUAUCAUGAAACCGGCGGUUGAUGCUGAGACUGAUAAGGUACUCGGUGCAACCAUGUGUGGACGAGAUGCAGCUGAACUUAUGCAGGGAAUUGUUGUUGCACUCAAGGCUGGAGCUACCAAGAUGACUUUCUAUGGCACCGUAAGUCGAAAGACAUUUGCCUUCACACGACAACGAGAUCUUCAAAUCUCAGUGCCUUUUCAGGUUCUACCAGAGGUACCACGUUGGCUGGCUUUGCAACUUGAGAUUCACCCUUUUUCCGUGGAGGAGUUUGUGAUGAUGCGUACCUUAGCCAGGCGCAUGUGCCUGAUGUUGAAGUCAAAGACAAACUUUUAAGCAAGACCCCUGCAAUGUUUUUGACCAAAAUUAUACUGGUGCAGCGACAUGGACUCUUGUUUCAGUUUGCUAGCCCUGCGCUUGGCAUUUGGCAUUUGAGGUGAUACGGUGUACAUUAUUUGAUUGUGAUAGUAAUAAGUUUAUGUCGAACAGUUUGUACAAAAAUAGUCCCUUGAUGUUCAAAUGUUUUCCCGUUUAGCCUCCAUGUUCAAUAGGGAUUACAUACAUAUGUAUAUGGACGUAUUUUAGAGUGUAUGUCUCGAAAGCAUUUCCAACGAAUAAUAGUUGCAAAAAGAAAAGAAUAAUAGGUGUAGAAGUGCAUUACUGUUUUCUAUUAUUUUUAAUUACAGCCCCGGAGACAAACAUCUGUAUAAUACGGGUUGCGGCCUUGGAGGCUAGAGGUGAAGACUCAGCUAGCUUGAUCUCUACAACUAGCAUGAAGGUAUCUAGAUUUUUGCUAAAAGAUUCGAUGUCUGUUAUAUAUGUUGUGUUCCAAGAAGUACUAAAACAAAGUUGUUUUUGGCUUGUUUAGCGCUUCAUAUUAAAUCCUUACACCGAGCCAUAUGAGUUAUCUUAAGUUUAGAAUGGAUAGCGUGUCUAUUUGGGCAUCAAGAAAGUUUUGAGUUAUCCUACUUUAUGGAACACCAUUGGCUUUGUAUGCAGUUCAAUUUUUUCAUAAAGAUACGUACUGAAACCACAAGUUUGUUUAUGAGGAUCACAAGAUUACAUGCAGGGGACGGAGAGAAGAGAGCAUUACUAAUCUGUACCUGCAUAUACAUGCAACAACAUGCACAUAUGGUAUGUAUAAUCAUAUGGUCUAUCUAUUUGAUCAUGUAUAAAAGAUAGCCAAAUCUCAUAAAACAGUGAGAGAAAAACAUCUAUUAGAUCAUGGCUUGCCAUACUAUUCAAGACAGGAAGCAAUUAAACCUGUAGAAACCAUGAAUGAAAAAUAUCAUAUUCCUAACCUAUGUAUACUGUGUAUCACUUAAUCAUAUGUUUGAUUCGUUUGCCGCAUUGUCACCUCGUUAAUGGAAAGUGGUUCAUGGAAACUCCUUAAUAGUCAGUCGAAGAAAUCUUGUCGCAUGGGCACCUAGAUUGGCCUUGCAGCGGCCUUGUGAUACACGAUUGUUUCAGUCGAAGCCAGGCCUAGGAGUGUAUGGAUGGUCGUUGCCUGCCUCACACCGAGCUUGCUUUGUAAUUGACUAUGCAUAGGUCACUGUGAUUAGGUGCCUCACAGCAUGGCUUACAACGGAAAGGAUGAUAAAUGGGGCCUAGAAAGGGAAGAAGGAUAAGCGGUGACAAGGGUGGGAUAUCGUGCUAAAAUUGAGGGUGUGGACAUGUGCGUCGAAGGAGGUGUUGAGAUAUGCUUACAUUUUCUAGGAGCCUAUCAUAUCUUUUCA